CGGCAGAAGCAAGACGCUGAGCAAAAUGGAUCCGUAGUUUCGGGAAAAAGAUUUGGUCUUAGAUCUGGGUUAAUGACGCUGGCGUGUUUGUCGUCUGUCGGAGUUGCGCCGGCCCGUCUGUGGUGAUGGUUGCUCCUGUGGACCGUCGGCACUGACCGCCAUGUGACCACUGGUCUGCACAGCGAAUAGAAGACUCAGAGCUGAAGGGAAAAGCUCGGAAUUUAAAUGUCUAAAUAGGCUUAGAGGAAGAGGGAAAAGGGGGGAUUAGCCUGUCUAAAUAAUAUCAAAUCGUUGCUAUAGGCGCACGCAGUGUUGGCGCCAUAUGUUUCCUGCCCGGAGGUCUGAAUGGCAAUGUGAUGAUACUCAACGAGGCGCUGGUUAAGGCGGGCUUGACCAUGAAGUCAUACAUUUCAAAACUAGGCUUUAGAAGGAUGAGCUGCUUCCCCAGAAGAUUACCUAAAAAUGAUAGGAGAGAGCACUGGCUCCCACGGCAUACCCUAACCGAGUGCCAACCGUCUCACGCUCCUUUCUCUUCCCGCGUUAAUACCGAGUGUGGCUGUGUACAACUACUUCAUUAGAUCAUCAGGCAGUUUUUACUAAGUUUGAACGAGAUCAGUAACUCCCCUGCCGUGCUCGUCUAGUAUUGUUGUUGGUUGUGUGGAGCCCCCAUACUUGAUGGCUAUGCUAGAUGCAUUCAUCGCUAACGGUGCGCUGGGAGGCCCGCUAGCCAAAUUCCCCGUCCUCAAAUUAACGACGUGCACGAUUGGAUUAACUCGGCUCGUACUGUCCCUAUCCACUGAACCCCGCCUAGCCACAGCCAAUAGAACGGGCUUGACGGUAUCAGCGAGGAGAAAAGACCUCGUUGAGAUUCACUCUAUUCCAACCUUGUUGAGCAGAAAAGGGGGUGUUUUUCGCACAGGUAGCAACAUCGGCAGUCGUGAUAUUCUAUUAUCCUCAGUGUCCAUUUACUCUUCCCGCGAAGUUGAGGCGCAUGCUCGACCUGCUCCCGCCAGAGCGUGCGCCUUCAGGUGCUGCUCAAUGCGGAAAGCACAUUCACUUGGGGAUCUCACCUGUGAAAUAAUAGCGCAGGUGUUCUAGCGUUCUGAUAACGAACCUCAUGAGCAAAAGGACGGAAGCUUGCAUGUCAUUGAUUUUGAGUACAAAAUUGUGAAAUCUUGGCCCAUUGGUCCUUUUCGUCUGAGAAAUUUUCGUCUAUAGGUGUUGGAAAAGUUACUACAGAGAGAAAUGGCUUGUGGUAGCCAAGCCUGUAUAGCGAAGUUGGUUUUUAACCCUUCGAUAGCAGCCGUUCCCAUCGCGGACACGCAGACCUCUCCGAAUAUCGGACUCCUCACCCGUUAAUAGGAAAUGUGACAAUAGAUAACCUAUGAAACAGGUUAGUUUUACACCACAAAAAAGUAUAUGAGGCAGUAGUCCAACUUAGCACGAGAGAAAACGGCGGUGCAGAUACUUCGUAAAUGCGGCUAGCAGAAAAGCUAAUGCCGCGACGCCACCAUGAAUUCGAAUUUAACUGAACGCCUCAAGAAUCCAUUCUCAGCAAACCCAGAUGUGUAUGAGUUGCUCCAUUACCGUUUAGGGUUUUGCCUGUGUUGCCCUGUUUGUUUCUGUUGCUGCGCACCUCAUGUGUUUUAGUAAUUUGCCUUACUGGGUUGCGCAUCGCCGCCUACGCAGUGGAUGAAGGCAGCCCCUCCCCCAUCC
rnacentral:ncRNA from 1 species